GAUGAACGCUAGCUACAGGCUUAACACAUGCAAGUCGAGGGGAAACGACAUCGAAAGCUUGCUUUUGAUGGGCGUCGACCGGCGCACGGGUGAGUAACGCGUAUCCAACCUGCCCAUCACUUGGGAAUAACCUUGCGAAAGUAAGACUAAUACCCAAUGACAUCCCACGAAGACAUCUGAAUGGGAUUAAAGAUUUAUCGGUGAUGGAUGGGGAUGCGUCUGAUUAGCUUGUUGGCGGGGUAACGGCCCACCAAGGCAACGAUCAGUAGGGGUUCUGAGAGGAAGAUCCCCCACAUUGGAACUGAGACACGGUCCAAACUCCUACGGGAGGCAGCAGUGAGGAAUAUUGGUCAAUGGGCGAGAGCCUGAACCAGCCAAGUAGCGUGCAGGAUGACGGCCCUAUGGGUUGUAAACUGCUUUUAUAAGGGAAUAAAGUGGGUCUCGUGAGACUUUUUGCAUGUACCUUAUGAAUAAGGACCGGCUAAUUCCGUG
rnacentral:rRNA from 1 species